AGCGAACGCUGGCGGCGUGCUUAACACAUGCAAGUCGAGCGAAGGUGUUUCAAGGGUAACCUUGAGAUACACUUAGCGGCGGACGGGUGAGUAAUACGUGGAUAACUUACCUCUAGGCCUGGGAUAACCCCGGGAAACUGGGGCUAAUACCUGAUAAGACCACAUUGUCUACGGACAAAGGGGUAAAAGGUGGCUGUGCAAACAGCUAUCGCCAAAAGA
rnacentral:rRNA from 1 species